ensembl:lncRNA
CUGGGAGCCACAAGUAAGCCAGCAUCCUGAGAGCAAAGUGCUCUGUUGGCUAAUACAGUACUGUGAGGUCAUUAAAAACUUAAUAUCCUUAUAGUAUUGUUUUUUGCAUAAUUAAUACAUAUAUCUUCAGAAGUUCCAUCCAUCCAUUGUCUUUGACUUAUCUUCAUCAGGGUCACACGGAGGCUGGAGCCUAUCCAGUAUGUUGCAGGGCUCUGCAGACAUUGCUACUGACAAUUUUACAGAAAUGUUUAAUAACAGCUUUUCAGAUUUGUUAACUGCACAUUAAUGCAUUAUAAAAGACAGGCUUGAAAUCUAAUACUAUAGAAGGCUCUAUGCACAUGCAGGGGUAACCAAAUGUGCAUGCAGGGACUCUGAGUUUUUCUGUUUUGUCUUGUUUUGUUUUUUUGACGUGUGUGUUUUUUCAUUUGUUUCCUUUUUUACUCACCUUUUAUUAUCACUUUAACUUUUUAGUAAAUGUAGGCACUUAAAAAUUACUUAGACAGAUUUAGGAAAAAGAUCACGGCUCCCCGUGAUUAAAGUUUAAUCCUUUCAAAACAGGAAUUGUGCUUGAUGACAGAUGACAAGUUGGAGGUGACAUAUCAUUUUCAAUAAUGCCGUAACCCAGUGCAUCACUGUGCAGAUACAAUGACACACCUAAAAAAGCAAAAAUGCAACCAGUUAACUGCAUUUUCAUUGUUGUGGUAUUUUUUGAUUAAUUUAUUAAAAUCAAAAUAAAAUUGCAAAGUGAUGAUAGAGACCAUAAAUGGAUAAAAACAUAUAAAAAGUAUGUUUCUGAUUUUAAAGUAAACUUGAUCAUAAAUUUACAGUUACUGUGGUUUUCUUUGCACUGCUGUCCUUAGCUGUUGUAAAAGCAGAUCCUCUGCCUCCUUUAAAAUUCUUAGUGUUUUUAGUUAUUUUACCAUGUAAUAUUCAGUUGAUAGUCAUUGUCACACACCUAACUGAAGCUAAUUAAAAAAGUUCACAGUUACACAUGGCUUAAUUGGAAAUGCAGAGCAGAAACACAGUUUCCAUUCCAUUCAUAACUUUGGUCAAAUUCCUUUUGGAGGUAUUUUAAACUGCCUGUAGUAUUGAUGCAUAUAGUUAAAUAGCAAAGGAUUAUAAUUACAGAAACAGGCAGCAGUUUUUCUGGAUUGUGUUUGGUGUUUUAUGUUUUUUUUUUUCUUAUUAUUUUAACUUGCAUUUGUGCAUGCUGUGAUGACGUGUUCUCCUGAGCACACAUAUUAAUUUCCUUUGUAAAAUUAUUUGUAGAAUUUUCUAUUUUUAGUGGAGUGCCUCUGAAUGUGGUACUGUAGAUGAUGACAUUUCUCUAGGAUGUUCCUCUGAUGCCAGGUCAUGAUGCCAGUUAUCGUAAGAGUAAAAGUUUUUUAAGCAUUACAAACUCCCUUUAGCCCUCUCCCUAAUUUUUUUGAAACAUUUUGCUGGCAUGAAAUUCAAAGCCAGUUUUAAUUUUUCACAUAUUUCUCAAUGUCAUAAUUUAAUAUGUUGUCUUUUUUUUUACUCUCUGCUCUACUAAAGUAGUGUUGCAGGAUUCAGUUCAAAAUAAUUCUUAAUUAUGUUAUAAUUACAACCCUGCAAUUUACUGACUGUGUGAAACCAGGUGCUUUAGACUUCUUUUUCUUUCUGAUUGGUUGCCUCCAUAAAUACAGCUGUCAAUAGCAGAUGCAGUGGCUUGUGUCCUCACAGCCAGGGCUGUGUUGCUGUGAUGACCAGGUUAGGGAUAUGUGUUUCCAAAGACAUUGCACAAAUAUUUUUAAAAAAAGAAGAACGAGAAGAAGUCAAA